AACGAACGCUGGCGGCAUGCCUAACACAUGCAAGUCGAACGAAGCCUUCGGGCUUAGUGGCGCACGGGUGCGUAACGCGUGGGAAUCUGCCCUUAGGUACGGAAUAACUCAUGGAAACGUGUGCUAAUACCGUAUGAUGUCUUCGGACCAAAGAUUUAUCGCCUAGGGAUGAGCCCGCGUUGGAUUAGCUAGUUGGUGAGGUAAAGGCUCACCAAGGCGACGAUCCAUAGCUGGUCUGAGAGGAUGAUCAGCCACGACUGGGACUGAGACACGGCCCAGACUCCUACGGGAGGCAGCAGUGGGGAAUCUUAGACAAUGGGCGCAAGCCUGAUCUAGCCAUGCCGCGUGAGCGAUGAAGGCCUUAGGGUUGUAAAGCUCUUUCAGUGGGGAAGAUAAUGACUGUACCCACAGAAGAAGCCCCGGCUAACUCCGUGCCAGCAGCCGCGGUAACUCGUCUCUA
rnacentral:rRNA from 1 species